rnacentral:rRNA from 1 species
GAUGAACGCUGGCGGCGUGCCUAAUACAUGCAAGUCGAGCGAACAGAUGAGGAGCUUGCUCCUCUGACGUUAGCGGCGGACGGGUGAGUAACACGUGGAUAACCUACCUAUAAGACUGGGAUAACUUCGGGAAACCGGAGCUAAUACCGGAUAAUAUAUUGAACCGCAUGGUUCAAUAGUGAAAGACGGUUUUGCUGUCACUUAUAGAUGGAUCCGCGCCGCAUUAGCUAGUUGGUAAGGUAACGGCUUACCAAGGCAACGAUGCGUAGCCGACCUGAGAGGGUGAUCGGCCACACUGGAACUGAGACACGGUCCAGACUCCUACGGGAGGCAGCAGUAGGGAAUCUUCCGCAAUGGGCGAAAGCCUGACGGAGCAACGCCGCGGGAGUGAUGAAGGGCUUCGGAUCGUAAAACUCUGUUAUUAGGGAAGAACAAAUGUGUAAGUAACUAUGCACGUCUUGACGGUACCUAAGCAGAAAGCCACGGCUAACUACGU